UGUGUCCCAGGUGUGACAGGUGUGACAGGUGUGUCCCAGGUGUGACAGGUGACACUCAGGUGACACUCAGGUGUGUCCCCAGGUGUGUCAGGUGACACUCAGGUGUGUCCCC